rnacentral:rRNA from 1 species
AGUGAACGCUGGCGGUAGGCCUAACACAUGCAAGUCGAACGGCAGCACAGUAAGAGCUUGCUCUUACGGGUGGCGAGUGGCGGACGGGUGAGGAAUACAUCGGAAUCUACUUUUUCGUGGGGGAUAACGUAGGGAAACUUACGCUAAUACCGCAUACGACCUACGGGUGAAAGCAGGGGAUCUUCGGACCUUGCGCGAUUGAAUGAGCCGAUGUCGGAUUAGCUAGUUGGCGGGGUAAAGGCCCACCAAGGCGACGAUCCGUAGCUGGUCUGAGAGGAUGACCAGCCACACUGGAACUGAGACACGGUCCAGACUCCUACGGGAGGCAGCAGUGGGGAAUAUUGGACAAUGGGUGCAAGCCUGAUCCAGCCAUACCGCGUGGGUGAAGAAGGCCUUCGGGUUGUAAAGCCCUUUUGUUGGGAAAGAAAAGCAGCAGGUUAAUACCCCGCUGUUCUGACGGUACCCAAAGAAUAAGCACCGGCUAACUUCGUG